rnacentral:rRNA from 1 species
UACAGAGGUCUCAAGCGUUGUUCGGAUUCAUUGGGCGUAAAGGGUGUGUAGGUGGCGCCGUAAGUCGGGUGUGAAAUUUCGGAGCUUAACUCCGAAACUGCAUUCGAUACUACGGUGCUUGAGGACUGGAGAGGAGACUGGAAUUCAUGGUGUAGCAGUGAAAUGCGUAGAGAUCAUGAGGAAGACCAGUGGCGAAGGCGGGUCUCUGGACAGUUCCUGACACUGAGGCACGAAGGCCAGGGGAGCAAACGGG